rnacentral:rRNA from 1 species
GAUGAACGCUGGCGGCGUGCUUAACACAUGCAAGUCGAACGGAAAGGCUCCUGCUUGCAGGGGUACUCGAGUGGCGAACGGGUGAGUAACACGUGGGUGAUCUGCCCUGCACUUCGGGAUAAGCCUGGGAAACUGGGUCUAAUACCGGAUAGGACGAUGGUUUGGAUGCCAUUGUGGAAAGUUUUUCGGUGUGGGCUGAGCUCGAGGCCUAUCAGCUUGUUGGUGGGGUAAUGGCCUACCAAGGCGUCGACGGGUAGCCGGCCUGGGAGGGUGUACGGCCACAUUGGGACUGAGAUACGGCCCAGACUCGUACGGGAGGCAGCAGUGGAGAAUAUUGCACAAUGGGCGCAAGCCUGAUGCAGCGACGCCGCGUGGGGGAUGACGGCCUUCGGGUUGUAAACUCCUUUCGCUAGGGACGAAGCGCAAGUGACGGUACCUGGAGAAGAAGCACCGGCUAACUACGUG